CCACUAGCAAAGGAGCCGUUUCAUACUGUGCUCCUCUGAGCUGUCUAUGCUUCUCUCUGUUUGUAUACGCUGGGAGCCAGCAUGCACCUGUGUGUUUGAGCCCUCUCUGGUCUCUCUCAUUCUAACUGGUUGUUUAUCAAUGCUGUCAUGCUAGCAGCUCGUGCAGCAAUCAGCAGGAGAGAAGCAGAACUGGACUUGGUGGACUGAAAAUAACAAAAACUCAGAGCAAAAGAAUUCAGUUUGGAGAGUUUCUGCCUCCAUCUUGAGACAAAAGAAUUCUAAGGAACAAACUUGCCAAGCUGGAAUGAAGGACUGACAACAAGAAGACUUGUGUUGAAAAGGGUGGCUGUAUGACCUUUUGUAGUGGAUGGAAAGCAGAAACCAUGUUCCCACUGGUUUCUUGAUUUAUUCUGAAGCAACGGCCUACUCUGGUCCUCAAGCCUGACUCCAUCUUAUUCCAGAGGAUGUCUGACCAUCUGCCCUACUGGUAUGUUGGCGAUUUAUAAUACUUAUAGUUUUCUCUCUUUUAGCUUGGUUCAGUGUUGUUUCUAUUCCGCACCAUAUGAUGCGUACCUGAUGAUUUGUUCACAGUACAUGUUGUUUUGAUGGUGUUCCUGGCUGGUAGAAAGGUCAAAGAAAACACUGUUAUUACACAUUAUGGAAUCAUUUAUUAAAUCGACUGUAUUUAUAACUUACCAAAGUUAUAACUGGCAUUAUAUUUUGUAUUGCACACAGGUGCGAUUUAAUAUGAUUUCACAGUGUCAUUUAGUCUUAUUAUAGAAUAUUUUCCUAGAAAUUUUAGAUUUGUUAUCUGUAGGAGAUUGACGAUUGACUUGGUCUAAGAAUACAAAUGGUCUUGUAAUGGGCCUGAGACAUUUUGUAUAUAUUGUGGUAUUUCAUUAAAUACUAAUAAAAUGGCAUUUUAUACAGCACGCAUUAUUUUUCUGAAUUCAAAUCAAAUAGCUGGCAUUUUGCAUUUUUACACAACAUACAGUAUAUUAUUCUGUCUGACAUUUCAAAAUGUUGACCCCAGAGGAAUGUUAUCAGUAGGUUACACAAACACAAUGUCCAUCUCACAGGCAUGUGCUCUGGCCUUUUCAGUCUACCAUGGUUUAAUUUCAAAGCUACAAGCUACAAAGAUACACAAACAGGAAAUAUGUUUUAUAGCCACAUUGAAAAGGUUAGAUUAAAUAUAAAAACAUGAAAAUACAUUAAAAGGAAUAAUAUUUUAUUUUACUCUCAGUCAAGGAUUUAGUCCUUAAGUAUUAUACAAGUUAAAAUAGAGUGAACUCUUAAAUAUCUAACAUAAAAUGGAAGAUAUCAACAUUUUUACUCUGGGUUUUGAUAAUAAUGUGUUAAUAAUAAUGAUAAUAAUACUAUGUUGUUCAUGGUGGCUCAUUUGCUAGAGCGCCCACUGGGUGGGGUGGUAUGUUGAAUGCGUGAAGUUUACAGGAUGAGCUAGUAGAAUGACUUGCUGUUUCCAUUUUCUGUGGGUUUCGUCUUCCUUAUUUGCUCAUGAAGGGGUAAUGCCAGCUGCCACAAA